rnacentral:rRNA from 1 species
GACGAACGCUGGCGGCGUGCCUAAUACAUGCAAGUCGAGCGAACAGACCAGGAGUUUGCUCGUCUGUCGUUAGCGGCGGAGGGGAGAGUAACAUGUAGAUAACCUACCUAUCAGACUGGGAUAAUUACGGGAAACCGGAGCUAAUAACGGAUAAUAUAUUGAACCGCAUUGUUCAAUAGUGAAAGUCGGUUGUUGUGUCAGUAAUAGCUGGAUCCGGGCAGGAUGAGCUGGUUGGUAAGGAAAUGGCUUAGCAAGGCGACGAUGGGUAGCCGCCCUAAGAGGGUGGUCGCCCACCCGGGAGGUGAGACUGGGUCCAGACUCCUGCGGGAGGCAGCAGUAGGGAAUCUUCCGCAAUGGGCGAGAGCCUGACGGAGCAACGCCGCGUGAGUGAUGAAGGUGCUCGGAUCGUAAAGCUCUGUUAUUAGGGGAGAACAAAUGUGUAAUUAACUGUGCACGUCUUGACGGUACCGGGUCAAAAAGCCACGGCUAACUACGUG